rnacentral:rRNA from 1 species
AGAGUUUGAUCAUGGCUCAGGAUGAACGCUAGCGACAGGCCUAACACAUGCAAGUCGAGGGGCAGCGGAGAGGUAGCAAUACCUUUGCCGGCGACCGGCGCACGGGUGAGUAACACGUAUGCAAUCCACCGUGUAACGAGGGGGGUAUAAACCCGGAGAAAUCCGGACUAAUACCCCAUAAUAUGGGCGCUCCGCAUGGAGAGCCCAAUUAAAGAGAGCAAUUUUGG